rnacentral:rRNA from 1 species
AUUGAACGCUGGCGGCAGGCCUAACACAUGCAAGUCGAGCGGAUGAAGGGAGCUUGCUCCUCGAUUCAGCGGCGGACGGGUGAGUAAUGCCUAGGAAUCUGCCUGGUAGUGGGGGAUAACGUCCGGAAACGGGCGCUAAUACCGCAUACGUCCUGAGGGAGAAAGUGGGGGAUCUUCGGACCUCACGCUAUCAGAUGAGCCUAGGUCGGAUUAGCUAGUUGGUGGGGUAAAGGCCUACCAAGGCGACGAUCCGUAACUGGUCUGAGAGGAUGAUCAGUCACACUGGAACUGAGACACGGUCCAGACUCCUACGGGAGGCAGCAGUGGGGAAUAUUGGACAAUGGGCGAAAGCCUGAUCCAGCCAUGCCGCGUGUGUGAAGAAGGUCUUCGGAUUGUAAAGCACUUUAAGUUGGGAGGAAGGGCAGUAAGUUAAUACCUUGCUGUUUUGACGUUACCAACAGAAUAAGCACCGGCUAACUUCGUG